CGACGUAGCACUUCGUGGGACCAGGCCAUUCAUUAGCUGGAGGGGGCGGCGGGGCUGCGCUCCCAGGCCACCCGGCCGUGCCACGCGGCGCGAAGCUCGAAGCCACCCCUCCGCGAGUCCCCUCCCCGGGCCCUGCUCCCCCCCGCCGGGCUGGCAGGACGCCGUCGCCUCCGCCCUCACCAGUCGCUAGAUGAAGGUCGAGACUCGGAAAGGAGGAUAAAGCUGGGAUGAAGGAAACAAGGACCAGGCUGGAUGCCCAAGCACCCGUCACCACUCUGGAAGCAUAGGCAUCUUAGCAAAGUUGCCUCCCGUACCCCUAGCACUGGGGUGACUGGAAAACCAGAGGUGUCCUCUCCCCAGGAGUCGGCCCUGCUCCUCUGUGGGCCCCUGUUGUACCCGGGUUGUCUGCGUGUCACUUCCUUUGUCAGAAGGCCAGCAUAGCUUUUUCAGAUCGCCACUGUGUGACCAGCUGCUAAUUUGAAUCACAUCACUCGGUACCUGAGGCCAGGCUUGCAAUAGGUUUUCUCCCUUUAACUCUUAACUCUAAGGCCAGUUUAAAAGUUGGAAACUCGUAAGGAGGAAAACAAACCAAUAAUAAGUUCAGAAUGGGAAACAUACUGCUGCUGAAGACUGAUAGAGUCGCCUUAGUAAACGUGUUCAGGGAGGAGCAGCAUGACUCAGAAAAAAACACCACUAGGAGUUGGUUGAACCUCUGCCAUGUUUGAGUUGCUGUAUGAGCCACUGGCGCUAUUAAACCAAGAUAAAUUCGGUAUCUUCUUACACUGGCUCAGCCUGAUUACCUGUUUUGUAGACUUUCUAGGACGUUAAAUUGCUAGAUUAAAGUAAAGGCGAAAUGAAAACUGAGACCUAGCUCCCCGAUCUCCUAGUACAAGGACUUUUUUUUCUUUUCCUACUUCCUACUUUGACAUGUAACAAAACCCAGUCUGUGUUGUAUAAACAAUGACUUGAAGCUCUGUAUGGAAAUCACACACUGACGAACAAAGAAGCCCAGUGAUCCAAAACUAAUAAUGUAAAUAAAUGUGCUGAGCUGAGUUCA